rnacentral:rRNA from 1 species
CGGAUUCUGGCUCAGGAUGAACGCUAGCUACAGGCUUAACACAUGCAAGUCGAGGGGCAGCAUUGGGAUAGCUUGCUAUUCAGAUGGCGACCGGCGCACGGGUGAGUAACGCGUAUCCAACCUUCCUGCCAGUAGGGAACAGCCCGGCGAAAGUCGGAUUAAUGCCCUAUGUUCUUCAAUGCGGACAUCUAAGUUGAAGGAAAGAUUCAUCGCUGGCAGAUGGGGAUGCGUCCGAUUAGCUUGCCGGCGGGUAACGGCCCACCGGGGCGACGAUCGGUAGGGGUUCUGAGAGGAAGGUCCUCCACACUGGUACUGAGACACGGACCAGACUCCUACGGGAGGCAGCAGUGAGGAAUAUUGGUCAAUGGGCGUAAGCCUGAACCAGCCAAGUAGCGUGCAAGGAUGACGGCCCUACGGGUUGUAAACUGCUUUUAUGCGGGGAUAAAGUGCGGCACGUGUGCCGCUUUGCAGGUACCGCAUGAAUAAGGACCGGCUAAUUCCGUGCCAGCCGCGGC